ACAAACUGUAAGAAUGUACCUGACGAAUCUGUUAAAAGAUCCGUCUUUCGACCAACUUGGAGCCUUCAAUGGGUUCAUCCGGAGUUCGCCUUGCUCGUUGACCGGAGAUAUCGCGACAUAGGAGGUCGCUGCUUUAUAGUUUUUGUCGCUGCUGCUGCUGGCCGAUGUAAGCUGCUGCUGGUCCUUUAAAAAAAAUAGAAGAGAGAAAAGGUAAAAGAAGGGGGAGGGAGGCAGAGACGGGGAAGAGAGGAGAGACGGGUGGCGCUGGGCUGCUGAAGAAGCUGUUGCUGCUCCUGGUUUCG
rnacentral:misc_RNA from 1 species